AGUGAACGCUGGCGGUAGGCCUAACACAUGCAAGUCGAACGGCAGCACAGUAAGAGCUUGCUCUUACGGGUGGCGAGUGGCGGACGGGUGAGGAAUACAUCGGAAUCUACUUUUUCGUGGGGGAUAACGUAGGGAAACUUACGCUAAUACCGCAUACGACCUACGGGUGAAAGCAGGGGAUCUUCGGAACUUGCGCGAUUGAAUGAGCCGAUGUCGGAUUAGCUAGUUGGCGGGGUAAAGGCCCACCAAGGCGACGAACCAUAGCUGGUCUGAGAGGAUGAUCAGCCCCACUGGGACUUAAGCACGGUCCAGACUCCUACGGGAGGCAGCAGUGGGGAAUAUUGGACAAUGGGCGCAAGCCUGAUCCAGCCAUACCGCGUUGGUGAAGAAGGCCUUCCGGUUGUAAAGCCCUUUUGUUGGGAAAGAAAAGCAGCAGGUUAAUACCCCGCUGUUCUGACGGUACCCAAAGAAUAAGCACCGGCUAACUUCGUG
rnacentral:rRNA from 1 species